GGUGAUUUGUGUUGUCUGCAGUGGCGUUAUUGGGUUUGUGUUAUGCUCAACUGAAGGGCCGCCUGUUGAUUUUUUGAACCCAAUCAAUCCCAUCGAAAAGCUUGACGGAGCGCUUCAAUAUCGCAGGGAACUAAGGUUUUACAAUUCUGAGGUUCAUAGAGCUGCAUUUGCCUUGCCGUCUUUUGUAAAGCGAGAGGUGAGCUGUCUGCGAGAUGUCCUGCCUACAAACUUAGUAGUUUGAUUUUUACUGACUACUCAUCCAUUCCCAUGUUAUUCGGAACUACACGAGAGUGUUAAGAGUACUGAUCGGACUUUUAGAUAAGCAGUCGAAGCAAGCGUAGACGCUGCGAUGACUCUAUGUAUUAGGUGUUUGAUUGGCAUAUAAGCAGGUGUUUUGGAAUCUUCUGAGUACUGUGAAGUCUAUUGAUAAAUUUGUGAUUCAGCAACACUAUAUUGCACUGCUCUUUCUCAGAAAGUGCAGCAUUAUGAAUUUUAUGGGUGCUGGGAUGUU